GAUCGGAAAUGCUUGCCUCCAGCUGGUUCAGGAAGCUGCUCAGAGACAUUGUUACAGGGCAAAGAUGUCUUCAUUGCCAACAUGUACAUUGUACCAACGUGGAAGCACAAAGACGUUGAUCCAAUGUCAAGCCUUCCAAGGGAUGCACAUCUAAAGGAUGCACUCCUCUUCCCAGCGUGGAGCAAGCACAACGGGCCAGAGCAUUGCCUUCUCUGUGUAAGUGUUGAAAAGAAAAAUACUGGAGAUAUCUUAUAAUUCUUGUGCAAUUACAUUAUUUAUGCCUCUUUCUGCAUUGACCAUUGUAGGUGUUGAGGCCGGCAAAGAGAGAAAUUCUCUUGCUGGACUCUCAGUUUGCCCUUUGGCCAUCUGGUUUUGGCGAUGAGGUGUACAGAGCCAUCUUUAGGUCCCUUUAUAAUAAUCCUGGCCACAGUUCCAUUUUGGCCACUUUUUGUUCCAGCCAUGUUCUGGUUUUGGCUAUGGUUCUGUUCUAGUCAUCUUUCCCUUCCCCGCUAUGCUCAUGUUUUAGACAUGUUCUUCUUUCGGCUAUGUUCUCAUUCUAGCCAUGUUCCAGUGGUGUGCUACAAGGGUCCCCAACCACAGAGUCAUGGACCAGUACUGGUGAAACGAUAUUUUGUUCAUGCUUUGGCAGUGUUCUAAUAGAAUUUUCACUUGUUUAUUUACAAUUUGUCUUCAUGUUUUAAUAUGCCAAGUGGCUUAUUGCAUUUUAUUUUAUUCACAUUUGGCUUUUUUACUGCAGGAGCAUUGCGCAGCACAUCGUCCCAGGAAGCUGGAGUGAGCUCACUGGAAAAGACAUGCAGGAGAUCCCACGCCAGACCUCGGGGAAUGACUGUGGUGUUUUCAUGCUCAUGAUAAGUUGAGCAUUUUUAAAGAAGAAGAUACUCCCUCUGGCUCUGUACGGACACUACCUUUCACUACAGUGUGCUGGACAUGCAGUCAAUCCGGCGUUGGUGGUGUGUCCUUCUAAUGGAGCGCUUUGGCAUUGACGGGUAGGACAACUUUUUGAAAUAUCUGAUGUAUUGUUUAUCAUGAUUAGUAGCUGCCUGCGAUGAGGUGGCGACUUGUCCAGGGCGUACCCUGCCUUCCGCCCGAAUGCAGCUGAGAUAGGCUACAGUGACCCCCCGCGACCCCAAAAAGGGACAAGCGGUAGAAAAUGGAUGGAUGGAUGGAUUAGUAACUGUAAUCUGAAGAGCUUUUCCUUCAAUUUCCCCAAAGGCAUGGCCAGAGGUUCUGUUAUUGGACAGACAAGGCGAGCAGCCUAUUGCAGGGCAUUCUUCAGCCAGUCUUUAGGGCAUGGGUCACCAACCUUUUUGAAACCAAGAGCUACUUCUUGGGUACUUAUUAAUGCG